CAGGGAGGGCAGAGGGAGGGGCAGAGGCUGCUGACCUCAUUACCAUAUUUAUCCAGGGAGGGCAGAGGGAGGGGCAGAGUCUGCUGACCUCAUUACCAUAUUUAUCCAGGGAGGGCAGAGGGAGAGACAGAGAGGGACAGAGAGGGAGGGACAGAGAGAGAGAUGGACAGAGAGAGAGAUGGACAGAGAGAGAGAUGGACAGAGAGAGAGAUGGACAGAGGGAAAGAAAGAAAAUAUACAUUUCUAUAUUUCCACCAUUGAGACAGAGUACACUAGUAGUACCCAUACAGACAGUGUACACUAGUAGUACCCAUACAGACAGUGUACACUAGUAGUAC
rnacentral:lncRNA from 1 species